rnacentral:sRNA from 1 species
UCCCACAUGGGCUUUGGGAGCUGUGCCGGUCAGAUGUGUAGGCCCAAGUAGGGGCUGGAAUGAAGAAGCUCUGUCCAGGGGCUGAUGGUUCCCUUCUUUUUGCAGAGAUUCUAGACUUUGGCUACCCACAGAAUUCCGAGACAGGCGCGCUGAAAACCUUCAUCACGCAGCAGGGCAUCAAGAGUCAGCAUCAGACAAAAGAAGAGCAGUCACAGAUCACCAGCCAGGUGACUGGGCAGAUUGGCUGGCGGCGAGAGGGUAUCAAGUAUCGCCGGAAUGAGCUCUUCCUGGAUGUGCUGGAGAGUGUGAACCUGCUCAUGUCCCCACAAGGGCAGGUGCUGAGUGCCCAUGUGUCGGGCCGGGUGGUGAUGAAGAGCUACCUGAGUGGCAUGCCUGAAUGCAAGUUUGGGAUGAAUGACAAGAUUGUUAUUGAAAAGCAGGGCAAAGGCACAGCUGAUGAAACAAGCAAGAGCGGGAAGCAAUCAAUUGCCAUUGAUGACUGCACCUUCCACCAGUGUGUGCGACUCAGCAAGUUUGACUCUGAACGCAGCAUCAGCUUUAUCCCGCCAG